rnacentral:rRNA from 1 species
AGCGGCGGACGGGUGAGUAAUGUCUGGGAAACUGCCUGAUGGAGGGGGAUAACUACUGGAAACGGUAGCUAAUACCGCAUAACGUCGCAAGACCAAAGUAGGGGACCUUCGGGCCUCAUGCCAUCAGAUGUGCCCAGAUGGGAUUAGCUAGUAGGUGGGGUAACGGCGCACCUAGGCGACGAUCCCUAGCUGGUCUGAGAGGAUGACCAGCCACACUGGAACUGCGACACGGUCCAGACUCCUACGGGAGGCAGCAGUGGGGAAUAUUGCACAAUGGGCGCAAGCCUGAUGCAGCCAUGCCGCG